rnacentral:lncRNA from 1 species
GAACUCUUGCGGUGACGAGUAUUAUGGCGAAGGAUACACUACUACAUGUAAUUACACCUGCGGCAAUCAAACCAUUACAUAUAGAAAUGGAACACCCUGUGCCCUUGUAUUCACUAAACCAAACAGGACGGUUGCCGGUCUCUGCCUGAAUGGCACGUGUGUCUCGUCUUAUGAUUUGAGUA